CCCGCUAUCAUCCAGGCGAGGUCAGAACAGGUGCAUCAAAGCGGGGACUGAGAGACUGAAAAACAGUCUCUAUCUCAAGGCCAUCAGACUGUUAAACAGCCAUCACUAGGACAUUAGAGGCUGCUGCCUAUAGGCAUAGACUAGAAAUCACUGGCCAUUUUAAGAAAUGGAACACUAGUCACUUUAAUAAUGUUUACAUAUCUGGCAUUACUCAUCUCACAUGUAUAUACUGUUUUUCUAUACUAUUCUACAGUAUCUCAUUCACUUAAAAAUGCUUCCAUAUCUUGCAUUACUCAUCUCAUAUGUAUAUACUGUUUUUCUACACUAUUCUACUGUAUCUUAGACUGUUCUGCUCUGACAUCGCUCGUCCAUAUGUACAGUUGAAGUCAGAAGUUUACAUACACUUAGGUUGGAGUCAUUAAAACUCAAUUUUUCAACCACUUAACAAACUAUAGUUUUGGCAAGUAGGUUAGGACAUCUACUUUGUGCAUGACAAUUGUUUACAGACAGAUUAUUUCACUUAUAAUUCACUGUAUCACAAUUCUAGUGGGUCAGAAGUUUACAUAUACACUAAGUUGACUGUGCCUUUAAACUGCUUGGAAAAUUCCAGAAAAUGUCAUGGCUCUAGAAGCUUCUGAUAGGCUAAUUGACAUAAUUUGAGUCAAUUGGAGGUGUACCUGUGGAUGUAUUUCAAGGCCUACCUUCAAACCCAGUGCCUCUUUGCUUGACAUCAUAGGAAAAUCAAAAGAAAUGGUAGACCACCAUAAGUCUGGUUCAUCCUUGGGAGCAAUUUCCAAACGCCUGAAGGUACCACGUUCAUCUGUACAAACAAUAGUAUGCAAGUAUAAACACCAUGGGACCACGCAGCCGUCAUAUCGCUUAGAAAGGAGACGUGUUCUGUCCCCUAGAGAUGAACGUACUUUGGUGCAUAUCAAUCCCAGAACAACAGCAAAGGACCUUGUGAAGAUGCUGGAGGAAACGGGUGCAAAAGUAUCUAUAUCCACAGUAAAAUGAGUCCUAUAUCGACAUAACCUGAAAGGCCGCUCAGCAAAGAAGAAGCCACUGCUACAAAACCGCCAUAAAAAAGCCAGACUACGGUUUGCAACUGCACAUGGGGGCAAAGAUUGUACUUUUUGGAGAAAUGUCCUCUGGUCUGAUGAAACAAAAAUAGAACUGUUUGGCCAUAAUGACCCUCAUUAUGUUUGGAGGAAAAAGGGCGAGGCUUGCAAGCCGAAGUACACCAUCCCAACUAUGAAGCACGGAGGUGGCAGCAUCAUGUUGUGGGGGUGCUUUGCUGCACUUCACAAAAUCGAUGGCAUCAUGUGGAAGGAAAAGUAUGUGGAUAUAUUGAAGCAACAUCUCAAGACAUCAGUCAGGAAGUUAAAGCUUGGGUCUUCCAAAUGGACAAUUUUUUUUAACCUUUAUUUAACUAGGCAAGUCAGUUAAGAACAAAUUCUUAUUUUCAAUGAUGGCCUAGGAACAGUGGGUUAACUGCCUUGUUCAGGGGCAGAACAACAGAUGUUUUACCUUGUCAGCUCAGGGAUUCAAUCUUACAACCUUUUGGUUACUAGUCCAACGCUCUAACCAUUAGGCUACCUGCCGCCCAUACUUUCAGCGCUCUAACCACUAGGCUACCUGCCGCCCAUACGAGCGUACUUCCAAAGUUGUGGAAAAAUGGCUUAAGGACAACAAAGUCAAUGUAUUGGAGUGGCCAUCACAAAGCCUUGACCUCAAUCCCAUAGAACAUUUGUGGGCAGAACUGAAAAAGCACAUGCGAGCAAGGAGGCCUACAAACCUAACUCAGUUACACCAGCUCUGUCAGGAGAAAUGGGCCAAAAUUCACCCACUUAUUGUGGGAAGCUUGUGGAAGGCUACCUGAAACAUUUGAACACAGAGUUGGAAUGAAACAGUUGCACACAGUUCCCUUUGAAAGGAACAGUGAGCGGGUCAAGGAACUCCGCCACCAAUACGUCCACGUAUGGUGUCUAUCCAAUAUGUCUAGUUCUAUAUAGUGAGUUUUACACUAUGGGGUCAGGGAACUCUGGCACCAAUACAUCCAGGUAUGGUGUCUAUCCAAUAUGUCUAGUUCUAUAUAGUGAGUUUUACACUAUGGGGUCAGGGAACUCUGGCACCAAUACAUCCAGGUAUGGUGUCUAUCCAAUAUGUCUAGUUCUAUAUAGUGAGUUUUACACUAUGGGGUCAGGGAACUCUGGCACCAAUACAUCCAGGUAUGGUGUCUAUCCAAUAUGUCUAGUUCUAUAUAGUGAGUUUUACACUAUGGGGUCAGGGAACUCUGGCACCAAUACAUCCAGGUAUGGUGUCUAUCCAAUAUGUCUAGUUCUAUAUAGUGAGUUUUACACUAUGCUACUCUACAUGUUAACAUGGGUUACAGUAGGACACUAUGCUACUCUACAUGUUAACAUGGGUUACAGUACAUACAGUUGGAACACUAUGCUACUCUACAUGUUAACAUGGGUUACAGUAGGACACUAUGCUACUCUACAUGUAAACAUGGGUUACAGUACAUUCAGUAGGACACUAUGCUACUCUACAUGUUAACAUGGGUUACAGUACAUACAUUAGGACACUAUGCUACUCUACAUGUUAACAUGGGUUACAGUACAUACAGUAGGACACUAUGCUACUCUACAUGUUAACAUGGGUUACAGUAGGACACUAUGCUACUCUACAUGUAAACAUGGGUUACAGUAGGACACUAUGCUACUCAACAUGUUAACAUGGGUUACAGUACAUACAUUAGGACACUAUGCUACUCUACAUGUUAACAUGGGUUACAGUACAUACAGUAGGACACUAUGCUACUCUACAUGUUAACAUGGGUUACAGUACAUACAGUAGGACACUAUGCUACUCUACAUGUUAACAUGGGUUACAGUACAUACAGUAGGACACUAUUCUACUCUACAUGUAAACAUGGGUUACAGUACAUACAGUAGGACCCUAUGCUACUCUACAUGUUAACAUGGGUUACAGUAGGACACUAUGCUACUCUACAUGUUAACAUGGGUUACAGUAGGACACUAUGCUACUCUACAUGUUAACAUGGGUUACAGUAGGACACUAUGCUACUCUACAUGUUAACAUGGGUUACAGUAGGACACUAUGCUACUCUACAUGUUAACAUGGGUUACAGUAGGACACUAUGCUACUCUACAUGUUAACAUGGGUUACAGUAGAACACUAUGCUACUCUACAUGUUAACAUGGGUUACAGUAGGACACUAUGCUACUCUACAUGUUAACAUGGGUUACAGUAGGACACUAUGCUACUCUACAUGUUAACAUGGGUUACAGUAGGACACUAUGCUACUCUACAUGUUAACAUGGGUUACUGUAGGACACUAUGCUACUCUACAUGUUAACAUGGGUUACUGUAGGACACUAUGCUACUCUACAUGUUAACAUGGGUUACAGUAGGACACUAUGCUACUCUACAUGUUAACAUGGGUUACAGUAGGACACUAUGCUACUCUACAUGUUAACAUGGGUUACAGUAGGACACUAUGCUACUCUACAUGUUAACAUGGGUUACAGUAGGACACUAUGCUACUCUACAUGUUAACAUGGGUUACAGUAGGACACUAUGCUACUCUACAUGUUAACAUGGGUUACAGUACAUACGGUAGGACACUAUGCUACUCUACAUGUUAACAUGGGUUACAGUACAUACGGUAGGACACUAUGCUACUCUACAUGUUAACAUGGGUUACAGUAGGACACUAUGCUACUCUACAUGUUAACAUGGGUUACAGUAGGACACUAUGCUACUCUACAUGUUAACAUGGGUUACAGUAGGACACUAUGCUACUCUACAUGUUAACAUGGGUUACAGUAGGACACUAUGCUACUCUACAUGUUAACAUGGGUUACAGUACAUACAGUAGGACACUAUGCUACUCUACAUGUUAACAUGGGUUACAGUAGGACACUAUGCUACUCUACAUGUUAACAUGGGUUACAGUAGGACACUAUGCUACUCUACAUGUUAACAUGGGUUACAGUAGGACACUAUGCUACUCUACAUGUUAACAUGCGUUACAGUAGGACACUAUGCUACUCUACAUGUUAACAUGGGUUACAGUACAUACAGUAGGACACUAUGCUACUCUACAUGUUAACAUGGGUUACAGUACAUACAGUAGGACACUAUGCUACUCUACAUGUUAACAUGGGUUACAGUACAUACAGUAGGACACUAUGCUACUCUACAUGUUAACAUGGGUUACAGUACAUACAGUAGGACACUAUGCUACUCUACAUGUAAACAUGGGUUACAGUACAUACAGUAGGACACUAUGCUACUCUACAUGUUAACAUGGGUUACAGUACAUACAGUAGGACACUAUGCUACUCUACAUGUUAACAUGGGUUACAGUACAUACAGUAGGACACUAUGCUACUCUACAUGUAAACAUGGGUUAUAGUAGGACACUAUGCUACUCUACAUGUUAACAUGGGUUACAGUACAUACAGUAGGACACUAUGCUACUCUACAUGUUAACAUGGGUUACAGUACAU
rnacentral:lncRNA from 1 species